rnacentral:rRNA from 1 species
UUUGAUCCUGGCUCAGAUUGAACGCUGGCGGCAGGCCUAACACAUGCAAGUCGAGCGGCAGCACGGGAAGCUUGCUUCCUGGUGGCGAGCGGCGGACGGGUGAGUAAUGCAUAGGAAUCUGCCCGGUAGUGGGGGAUAACCUGGGGAAACCCAGGCUAAUACCGCAUACGUCCUACGGGAGAAAGCAGGGGCUCUUCGGACCUUGCGCUAUCGGAUGAGCCUAUGUCGGAUUAGCUGGUUGGUGAGGUAAUGGCUCACCAAGGCGACGAUCCGUAGCUGGUCUGAGAGGAUGAUCAGCCACAUCGGGACUGAGACACGGCCCGAACUCCUACGGGAGGCAGCAGUGGGGAAUAUUGGACAAUGGGCGCAAGCCUGAUCCAGCCAUGCCGCGUGUGUGAAGAAGGCCCUCGGGUUGUAAAGCACUUUCAGUGGGGAAGAACGCCUUCCGGCUAAUACCCGGGAGGAAAGACAUCACCCACAGAAGAAGCACCGGCUAACUCCGUGCCAGCAGCCGCGGUAAUACGGAGGGUGCGAGCGUUAAUCGGAAUUACUGGGCGUAAAGCGCGCGUAGGUGGCUUGAUAAGCCGGUUGUGAAAGCCCCGGGCUCAACCUGGGAACGGCAUCCGGAACUGUCAGGCUAGAGUGCAGGAGAGGAAGGUAGAAUUCCCGGUGUAGCGGUGAAAUGCGUAGAGAUCGGGAGGAAUACCAGUGGCGAAGGCGGCCUUCUGGACUGACACUGACACCGAGGUGCGAAAGCGUGGGUAGCAAACAGGAUUAGAUACCCUGGUAGUCCACGCCGUAAACGAUGUCGACUAGCCGUUGGGUCCUUCGCGGACUUUGUGGCGCAGUUAACGCGAUAAGUCGACCGCCUGGGGAGUACG